rnacentral:rRNA from 1 species
UACGUAGGGUGCGAGCGUUAAUCGGAAUUACUGGGCGUAAAGCGUGCGCAGGCGGUUCGUUGUGUCGGCGGUGAAAGCCCCGGGCUCAACCUGGGAAUGGCCGUUGAAACUGGCGAACUGGAGUGUGGCAGAGGGGGGUGGAAUUCCGCGUGUAGCAGUGAAAUGCGUAGAGAUGCGGAGGAACACCGAUGGCGAAGGCAGCCCCCUGGGCUGACACUGACGCUCAGGCACGAAAGCCAGGGGAGCAAACGGG